AUACUUACCUGGCCGGGGAGAUACCAUGAUCACGAAGGUGGUUUUUCCAGGGCAAGGCUUAUCCAUUGCACUACAGGUGUGCUGACCCCUGCGAUUUCCCCAAAUGUGGGAAACUUGACAGCAUUAUUUGUGGUAGUGGGGGACUGCGUUCGUGCUCUCCCCUG